GUCGUAUAAAAUCCAAGGGAAAACAUAGUUGGUGGUGGGCCAUUUUGUGAAGGGAAUGCCUAUUCUGGCCAGAAUGCUCCGGACAAAGCACCUUCGCAACUUACUGUUAGUAAAAUUGGUGCCAGAUACUUCAUUGUCCAGUGGAAAAACUUACAUUGAGAGAGGAAGCGUUGAUGGCUAUAACCUCAUAUUUACAAUCAACUUGGCACCUCUUCAACAUCGCGUCGUUCGAUCAAUGCGAAUCUUUGCACGGAGGAUAGUACAUGCGAACUGAAUAUCAGCGCCAGCCUCACAUCCAAACGUGUCGACGGUCUUCUACCCGACACCGAAUACAGAAUAUCUCUUCGCGGUUAUAAUAGCGGCGGAUUUGGUCGCCGUAGUGCACCCAUUUUAGUUCGAACAAUGGAAGACGUACCCGAGGCAGUUGCUACCCUUACCCUCACGCCGUACGCCAAGUUUGUUAAAGUAGAGUGGACGGAACCGAACCAACCAAACGGAAUUAUCACCAAGUACAGAAUAUCCAUUGAUAAGCAACCCAAUUUUAAACCUAUCAUUCUUAACGCCAAUACC